AGGACGAACGCUGGCGGCGUGCCUAAUACAUGCAAGUCAAACGAACUGUGGAAAGCUUGCUUUUCAGAGUUAGUGGCGAACGGGUGAGUAACACGUAAGUAACCUAGCUAUUAGACGAGGAUAACUACUGGAAACGGUAGCUAAGACUGGAUAUGAUAGAAAUAUUUUAAAGGAUGCUAAGGCAUCGCUAAUAGAGGGGCUUGCGGCGCAUUAGCUAGUUGGUAGGGUAAAAGCCAACCAAGGCGAUGAUGCGUAGCCGACCUGAGAGGGUGACCGGCCACACUGGGACUGAGACACGGCCCAGACUCCUACGGGAGGCAGCAGUAGGGAAUCUUCGGCAAUGGACGGAAGUCUGACCGAGCAACGCCGCCGUGAGUGAAGAAAGUUUUCGGAUUGUAAAGCUCUGUUAUUAGGGAAGAAAGGCUCUAGGAGGAAAUGCUUAGGGAUUGACGGUACCUAAUGAGGAAGCCACGGCUAACUACGUGCCAGCCGCCGC
rnacentral:rRNA from 1 species